GAAUACUUCUCUAGUUCUCUAUAAUGAAUCUUACAUAACAAGUCAAAAACUAAUUUGCACAAAAGAAGGAAAAAUCCAGUUGAAAUGAAUCUCCAGUCCACUCUGUAUACAUAGAGUUUAUUUUUUUGAUUGAAUUUAAGAUAAAAAUUAAAAUUAUUAUAUAAAAUAAAAUAGAGCAUCUAUUUGUUCUGAGUUAGCUUGAAAACAGAGCAGAGGAGGAAGAAGUUGGCUUCACUCCCAAACCACUGAAUCAGCAUCACCAAUUCAUCAUGGGUGGAGGUCAUGACUCCAUUGUUGCACUUUCCCAAGGUACAUAUGAAGAUUCUUGUUCUGAAGAGGAUUAUCUCUUGCUUUCUUCUCACCCCCAACCUGCUCUCAGCUUGCAAGAUGAUGACAAUAGAGUUCAUAUGGAGGAGUACAACUUAGUCUCUGCAGAAAUUGGUGAACAAAGUACACAGCCUUCUUCUAGGGUUGAUUUUGAUGUCAAUGAAAGGAAGAGGCUUCGUGUCUACCAAGAAAUACUGCAAACUUAUGAUCAAUUGAAGAUUGAUAGCAAGAAUUUGAAAGAAGCAAAAGAAAAAAUCUUGAGCUAUAGGCCUGGAGCAUGGAUUGAGAAGGUUGGUGGCUUGAAGCUAUGUGAUUAUGAUGUUCCGAAGACAACAUGCCUCAUUUUGGUUGGUCCAAGUGGUUCUGGGAAAAGUAGUCUCAUAAAUAGAAUCUCUAAGGUGUUUGAGGAUGACAAUUUUGCACCAGCAAGGGCACAAGUAUCAUAUAAUUCACUUAAUGGGGAUGGAACUUGUUUCCUCCGAGAGUAUAUGAUUCCAAGAGAGAAAACUUCUAUCUGUCUAUAUGAUACACGUAGCUUGUCUGAUGAUUUAAAUGAGAACAAUAGAAUGCUGAAGAAUUGGAUGACAAAAGGUGUUUGUAAUGGAGAGCUUGUUGUCAGGAAUACCGAUAAUCAGAAAUUGAGGAAAAGUUUAAAGCAUAAAGACAACAAGAAAGGUUUAUUUUCCAGCAAGAGCAGAGAAGUUAAUUUUGUGAUAUAUGUUGUUAAUGGUCUUUCGGUUCUGAAUGCAAUGGAGAAUACUUCGGAGACGCAGUACACUGAAACAAUUGUUUCCACUUUCAAUUGCCCGUUCCUGUCAUUUAAAGAUGACAAACCUGUACUUGUUUUCACUCAUGGGGAUCUCCUAUCACUCUCUGACCGUGCUCGUGUCCGUGCACAUUUGGGGAACAUAUUGGGAACUCCUCCAACAAUGCAAAUUUUUGACAUCCCAGAAAGUGAUGAUCUAGUCACUGAAUCUGCCAUUAUUGGAAUGUUACGAUAUAGUCUUGAGCAUGCUGACAGCAAUUUUCCUCAGAAAAGCAAGAUAGAUAAGAUUUUAUUUCCCAAAAUUCAUCAACACAAGAUAUGGAGUUACCAACUCUCUUAAAGGAAAGUAAAUGCAAGUAGGUGCAUCAGACAUUGGUUCAUACCUUGAAUUAAAUUUUGGCUUUCUAAUCAUUGCCUCACUCACAAACUCAUCUUAUGUGCAUCUGAUAUAGAAUUAAAGUGGAUGGUUGAGGACUUGAAGAGUGUCUGAAGAGGGUUCUCUUUGUAAUCCAUCUUCUUGGUUCAUUCUUGCAAGCUAUUAGGAAAGUUGCUUGGAGUAUGCUUUGAGCUAAGGCUUCCCUUCUGUCAAGCCUAAACUUUGGAAAGGUCAAAGGAAAAUUAUUGAAUUUUAUCCAGGUUUGACAAGAUCAAUGGAUGAUCGGAAUGAAGAAUCUUUGGAAGAUCAGUCUGAAGAAUCUAUGUUACUUUCUAUUUUAGAAGAUGAUAUAAAGGAGAAUGAAGAGGUCAGUGCUUUAAUUGGUCAAUACACAGUAAAAUAUCUAUGCAAAGAGCCACGAAGGGACGACAAUCAAAUAGGGCAUGCGUGGGUGCAAGAAAUUUACAUGGGCAUCCCAUCCGUUGUUAUGAGAUGUUUCGAAUGGAAAAACAUGUAUUUUAUCAAUUCUGCAAUGAAUUGGUUGGACAUGGUUUACAAGCAACUAAAGGAAUGGGGAUAGAAGAAAUGGUUGAAAUGUUCUUGAACUUGCUUGGUCAUGGAGAGGGAAACAGGAUGAUGCAGGAAAGGUUCCAACAUUCUGGUGAGACUGUAAGUAGGCAUUUCCACAGAGUAUUAGUUGCUUGUCUUAAGCUGUAAUUUGAAUACAUUAAGCCACAAGAUCGAAGGUUUCGUAAUGUUAAUGAAAAAAUUCAAAAUGACCGACGAUAUUGGCCCUUUUUUGAAAAUGCUAUAGGAGCCAUUGAUGGUACUCAUAUCCCAUGUGUGGUUAGUUCUAGUGAACAACCCAGAUAUAUUGGAAGAAAAGGAUAUCCCACUCAAAAUAUAAUGGAUGUAUGUGAUUGGGACAUGUGUUUUAUUUUUGCAUUACCGGGGUGGGAAGGCACUGCACAUGAUGCUCGUGUAUUUGAAAAUGCUCUCACAACAGCCUCAAUGGAUUUCCCACAUCCACAUCUAGGAAAAUAUUAUUUGGUGGAUGCUGGCUAUCCAACACCAGUUGGCUAUAUUGGUCCAUAUAGAUCUGAACGCUACCACCUUCCAGAUUUUAGACGCUCAACUGGAUUUGCAAGCAACAAUGAAGUGUUCAAUUAUUAUCAUUCGAGUUUACGAUGCACAAUAAAAAGGACUUUUGGGGUAUGGAAAAAUAGGUUUGCAAUGUUACGUUGCAUGCCUAGUUUUAAAUUUGAGACACAAGUGCAAAUAGUUAUUGCGACGAUGACUAUUCAUAACUUUAUUCGAAGGAAAUCAGCUACUGAUUCUGAUUUCAUGCACUUUGAAGAUGAAGAUAUCCUUGAAAAUGACAAUGAUAAUCAAGUUGGUGAGAAUCCAUCCAUAACUGUUGCAUCUUCGACAGAAAUGGAUUUUGUUCGGAAUUCAAUUAGAGAUCAAAUUGUAGAGAGCAUGCAAAAUCACUAGUUUGUGUAUUUGUACUUUGAACAUGUAAUCUAUUUAUUAUCCAAGCACCAUCUGCCCUAUGAUGUGAUGAUUUUUCACCUUUGUUAUUACUUAUUAAUUUAUACCCACAGUUAUAAUGUUUGGAAAA